UACGUAGGGUGCGAGCGUUGUCCGGAAUUACUGGGCGUAAAGAGCUCGUAGGUGGUUUGUCGCGUUGUUCGUGAAAUCCCACGGCUUAACUGUGGGCGUGCGGGCGAUACGGGCAGACUGGAGUACUGCAGGGGAGACUGGAAUUCCUGGUGUAGCGGUGGAAUGCGCAGAUAUCAGGAGGAACACCGGUGGCGAAGGCGGUUCUCUGGGCAUUACCUGACGCUGAGGAGCGAAAGUGUGGGGAGCGAACAGG
rnacentral:rRNA from 1 species